UUUUAAAAGGUUUUUCUUCUUUAAUUGAUUUAGAAAAUGGGAGUAAGAGUAUUGUUAGGUAAUUUACAUGUCAAUCCUGUCAUACAAUAUAGUACAUUAUAUCACACAACAAAGUAGCUCAUUAUUUAAACAAACAGGUUAGGGAACAGGUGUUCUCUUUUCUACAUUUCUUUCAUAAUUUUUUUUUUAACCUCAGUGUUAAAAAAUAAAGCAAAAAUGUUUUGGCAUUGUUGGAGAUAUUCAUAAACUAGACUUAACUGUUAAAAUGUAAUUUUUUAAAAAAUUGUAUCAUAUCUUCUUUAUUGCCACAAGUUAGUGGUUUAAGUCAAAGUCUAAGGAUGUCUCCAUAUUGAAAUGGUGUGUGCAACAAAUGGAAGAGCUUAGAAAAGAGAAGGUUACUCUGCAGUGCCAAAAGGUGCACAAAAAUGAUCAUAUAUCAUUUAAAAAAACACCUAAUUUAUCAACACUUCCUUAACUCUUUCUCUCCGUAAUUAUUUUUCCACGUUUCAACGGAAUUCUUAAUUUCGUUCAUUACUAUUUCACUACCCUGUUAUGAUUAAGCUUCAAUAGCUUUGUCGUUUGUUAUCAGAAAAUGCUUGAGUUGGUAUACAAUUAAAGGGAGAAGCAUGCUCUUUUUAUAUAACACAAAAAAAAGUUUAUAAAAUUAAACAUUAAUUUAAUUUAAUGAGGUCAAAUCAACAAUGGUAUCGUCAAUUAGGAGAGAAAGAGUUAAUUCUGGACACCAGAUACACCACUAGAUUUUUUUAAAACCAUAAAUGACAAUAUUUCUAAUGCAUCAUAUCAUCUUCAAUAUAAUAUGUGAAACAUUCUUAUGAAAUUUCAUGAAUGAACCAAAUAUCGGAAACAUUUAACUACCAGCAAUGUAGGUCACAGUCAAGUUAUUAAAAUCUCAUAAAAUUCAGCAAACAUCUCAUAAUCCUUAACUUCAAAGACCUUAAUCUAUUUUAUCAAAAGAUGUUGAACAAGAAAAUAGCUUUUAUACAAAUUGUAGGUUCUAAUAUCUUAAAACUUACUGGUUUAGGUGCCUUCCCCCCCCCC